rnacentral:rRNA from 1 species
GGAAUCUUCCACAAUGGGCGCAAGCCUGAUGGAGCAACACCGCGUGAGUGAAGAAGGGUUUCGGCUCGUAAAGCUCUGUUGUUAAAGAAGAACGUGUGUGAGAGUGGAAAGUUCACACAGUGACGGUAACUUACCAGAAAGGGACGGCUAACUACGUGCCAG